UCCGUUUUUAGCUCUGGUUUCUGUACAGAUUACGCAAUCAAGAUAUAACAUGUUAAUUAGCGAGCUUUAGAGGUGCAGAUAGGUGGAUUUUUCUACCUUUGGAGAGAGCCA